UGGGAGCCCAGACAAGCAUCCCAGCGCGCUCCACGCCCAGCCCAGCUUCCUGCUGCGCCCGCGCCCCUGGGCGCUGCGCCUUCCCGCUCCUGCAACACGCCUUGUCGGGCACAGGGCACGGUGGCGGUUCCCAGGCCGGCGUCCGUCUGAGGGCUCGGCCACGGGCCAGCGGGGGAGACCGGCGGGGUCUGCAGGUCUCCGAGGAGCUGGAGAGCCGCAGAGAAGCCCGGCAGGGCGCGACGUGGCCGGAGCAGCCACACCUGGGCUGCGUGGGAUGCUGGCAGACACGGGGGCGGGAUGGGAGCCCAGCGGCGCGGGCGAUGGGGAAGGCAGAGCCUGGGCGACUGGCUUUGCCAGUGAAGCAGAGGUGGGUGCGAGGCAGCCGAGCGCCUGGGGCACAGACGUGGCUGCCGAGCUGCUGAUCCCCCCCGUGCAAGACACCGACCGGCUGUGAAUUGCAGGUAACUUCCCCUCGGUGCAGAAGCACUUCUCCAGCUGGCCUCGGUGCAGCUGAUGGCCUGGGUUUUCCAGCUUCCCAAGGAAACGUCGCAGUGUGACCUUUUACCAUUUGUACAGCUCAGGGGGGACUGCUAAGAGCAAGGCCCCUGCCCGCGCUGGCCACGCUGUCUGACCCCAGCUUAGCUUUAUUCUGUUAAAAGGCACCAUAAAGGCAGCACGGCUCUUUAUUGAUGUUUCUCUGUGGCGGAGGGAGCUUGGCAGCAGGCUUUCAGAGAGAAGCUCAUUUCGGGCUUCCCUAGAAGGACUGAUUUCUAUCAGAAGAAUAGCCAGCGAGUCGAUGAGGGUUUUCCUGUGAGCAUCUCCCAUCCCCAUUGCUGCUAAUACAGAGUUGCAAUCUCUGAAGCCGAUGCCUCGAGGCAGCCCCAGAGAGACUAGGAACGCUGACCUCUCGUUUGCGCCUAAUUGCAGGGGAUACAUGUCCUCAGCCAGGCUGCUUCUCGCUAGCCUGAGUGAAAGGGGCCACAACUCGUGGGUGGCUGCUGCGGGGCAGCGCAGCCAACGCGUGCAGCAGGAGCCGUGGCGCUCGCCUGCCUCUUAGCUGCGCAGUGCUUUCCUUUAAACAGCGGCCAUGCAGCCGCGUUAUCCUGAGGGCCGGCGGCCGGAGCCUUGUUUGCACGGCCGUGACAAGCGUGGGCUGGAGUAGCGCGCGGCCGCUAUCACGGAACGAGCGCAACAAUGACUCUGUCAAAGAGAGACGGCUCAGGGCCCCAGAGAGGCUGAAGAAUAAAGGCUUGUUUGGGGGGCUCUAUUCAUCGGGCCCCUUCCGUAGGUGGACGGCAGCAGAUUAGAAGGAAACAUUAUCUCUCUGGGCAAGUUCAGAAGGGCAAGCGAAGCCAAACUGGCACGGGCUGUGUCUCAAUGCAUCGCUCUCUUCGCUCCCCGAGUCCGUGAGAACAAAGUGCUCAGUGUAAAUGCUUACCAGGCCCUUUUCUUUCCCUGCGGGACUACCAAAGUUCAGCAUGAGACGGAGGCCACGUGUUGGCUAUUCGUCCCCUACAAAGAGCGUUUGAGGCCAGAAUUUAGAGUCUCAUAAAAACAUUAUUGUCUGCA